UUAGCACAAGACAUGGGUAAAGCAAAGUCACAGCCUUAAUUUUAAGACUUGUUCUCCACUUUGGAGAAGCUUCAAAUCUAUCAGGGCAUGGAAAUAGUAAUAGUUUGGCCCAGCACGGUCAGAGGCAAUCGUGUGCUACCUGCUUGAGAUGAGGAAGGUGUCCUUCCAAGCAGUCCUAAGGCACGAAUUGUGACCUUCUCACCUCUUUUCUGCCACCUCAGCUCAGCACAAAGCCUGGCUUCCAAAAUUAUGGGCAGAGCAAACAAGAGCUGAAGUCAUUGGCUGUUUGGAACCAUGGUUGUAUUGCAUGCUGGAGUUAAGAAAAGUUCAUCGUCUCAGGAGGAUGGACUGCAGAGCAGGUUUUCUUGGGGGACCAGUGGGUAAGAAUAAACAGAACUCAUCUGCUUUCCCUGAGUACCGAUAAAUAGAAGACAUGGGAUGAGGGUAUCUAACAAAGACCGAAGUCUCAGGGUCACUAAAGAUAAGGCAAAGCAAAUCAAGGCCAAUGAGACCUGAACAGAAAGCAUGCCGGGAAGGAAAGUCUUCAUAAAGCUGACAAUUUGUUUUGAAAUCUGAAGGCAGAGCAAAUUGCAAGCAGCAGCCUGACAUUUUCUGCAAAUAGGAAAGAGGAGAUGAGCCUUGCAAGGAAGAACAGGGCAGGGUCAAGUGUCUGCCUCUUCUAGAAAGACAGACAGUGCAAGAACCUCUUAUCCAUGG
rnacentral:lncRNA from 1 species